UACAGAGGUGGCAAGCGUUGUUCGGAAUUAUUGGGCGUAAAGAGCUCGUAGGCGGUUUGUCGCGUCUGCUGUGAAAUCCCGAGGCUCAACCUCGGGCCUGCAGUGGGUACGGGCAGACUGGAGUGCGGUAGGGGAGAAUGGAAUUCCUGGUGUAGCGGUGGAAUGCGCAGAUAUCAGGAGGAACACCGGUGGCGAAGGCGGGAUCCUGGGCCAGUACUGACGCUGAUGAGCGAAAGCGUGGGGAGCAAACAGG
rnacentral:rRNA from 1 species